CAUAAUGAAGAAUAAUAUAGAAAACGACUAUAAAAGAAUAGUUUACUUCUUGAUAUUACUGCUGUUCCUGCUUGUCCUUCUACUAUCGUUUUUAUUCAUCUGUUUACUUCAAUAUUCGAAUAUGCGAAUAACUUCACUCGAGAUACAAGAGAGCAAUAUGAGGUGUGGGAAAACUAAUGACGAAGAUGCCAUCAUUAAUGAAAGCACUAUUGGUCACCAAGCGAAGAAAAGGGAAAUCUCGUUUCAAACCGAUAAAGGAUGCCAAAAGGAUUGUUAUCCGACACCAAACCCAUCUGAAAAUAACUGCGACACAUAAACGAUAAAUGAAAAUUGGAGUGUAAAAAAAACUGAUUACUUGGAAUUUUGUUUCGCUGCCGAUCAAUUUUGUGGAAGAAACAGAGAAAAAUCAAAAGACGAACAGGAAAACAAUUUGGUAGGAGAAAAGCAACAAGAAAAUAAGAAAUUAUGAAAGUGGAUCGAGGUUAAAAAGAUCAUUCCUUCCAACAAAUCGCUCGAUUAGCCAACUGAUAAAGAAUUGAUAAAAAUAUUUUCAACAAAAAAUGUUUUCACUGAACUAC